rnacentral:snoRNA from 1 species
UAACCAGCCAGUUAAUCUAUUUACCUGAACAUUUCUGCAGACAUUUAGAAAAAGUUUACAAUGGUGAAACUGCGUACAUUACAAAUCUUAAAGACAGCUCAAGUCUUUUAAGAUCCCUGAAAAUGAUCACAAUA